rfam:Dipodomys ordii contig_56056, whole genome shotgun sequence.
GGGAAGGUGGCUCAGUGGUAGAGCGCUUGCCUUGCAUGCCUGAGGCCCUGAGUUCG